CCCUUAGAUGUUCUGGGCCGCACGCGUGCUACACUGAGUGGAUCAGCGGGUCAGGUUACGCGAGAGCGUUUCCUAAUCUUCAAAUCCGCUCGUGAUGGGGAUUGACGGUUGCAAUUUUCCGUCAUGAACGAGGAAUACCUUGUAAGCGCGGGUCAUCAUCCCGCGCUGAAUACGUCCCUUCCCUUUGUACACACCGCCCGUCGCUCCUACCGAUUGAGUGGUCCGGUGAGGCUUUGGGAUCUAAGCGAAAAGAGCGUUUCGCUCCUUUUGCUGGGAGAACUCAGUCGAACCUUAUCAUUUAGAGGAAGGAGAAGUCGUAACA
rnacentral:rRNA from 1 species